CUCUCUCUUCCCGCGUGUUCCCACGAGUUGGACGGCAUAUCAGAGUAUUGUGUAUAUUGGAGGUGACCAUUGUACAUUGAUCUGGUGCCUUUUAAUGGGAUUCGAAACUGUGACUGUGAGAUGUAGGAGAGUUUGACUUGAAGAUGGGUACUUCUACUUUCACUUUAAAUGUACUUGGCAAGGCAGUCGAGACGGGACAUGUGGAGACUGUAAAGGGUGUUUCGAGCCAUACCUGAUGCCCAGCCGUUUAGCCAGAAUGGAGGUCGACCUUCCUGUACAUUUUGUGUCGGAAUGAAUGGCCGAAUGACAUAGUCCUUCGAAGUUCUUGGGCCAAUUAGUGUUCUUUGGAGCCACUGUGAAGCAACGGUGGUGAAUAGAUUCCACUUUAUUGGUAUUAGUAAGUUGCUUAAAUUUGCUCAUGCUAGUUAAAUCGGCGAAACGGGUAAGUUGUGAUAUUAACUUCUCUUCAUCGUUUGGUGUCAGUACGAGAUAUUGAUGCCGAGGAAGACUUCUUAACACUUUCUGCAAUGUAGACACACGACAAAAUACCGAAACAGUUGAGCAUAGUUGGUGAUUUCCAGUGAAACAUGGUACAAUGUUUAUAGCUGCUUGCUUUAUUUUCUGGAGGAAGCGUGUUGAAAUUGAUUUCUUCCAACGAAUAAUUUCAAAGUAAAGCCGUGACCUUAUUGCUCGGGAGACAUGUCUGCAAAAUGUGUCACUGUCCAGCCCAUCAAUGAAUGAUUUUAAUUUUAAGUUUUGCAAUUUUUUUGCAAAUUUCUUAAUUUAUGAAUCAGGCAGUGGAAAUGUGAGAUAGAUGGUGAGAAUUCUCUCACCACUUUCUCAACUUUACCACAUUGGUCACUGACCUGAUUGACAAAAUAUUUUCAAUUUGAUAUGAGUUCAGAUUGACUUUGGCCGAAUAGCCUUCAGAAGAGGCAAUAGAUUUAUCAGUGGCGUAAUUUUUUGAACAGCCCUGAUGAUCACAUUUGCCCCUCCUGGUGCAUGUCUUGUUGCAAAUGUUCAAUGCUACAACAAGUUUGCGGCUUGUGCAACAUUCGGCUACAGGAGUAAUGGACAUUGUUCCAGCUUCCAUCCCAGACUGUAUCCGGUUGUUGUAGGAAGUGUCCAUUUGUAGGUCCACUUUAUUGCCUUGGCCUUUGAACUCCUGAACUCUUCUUAUGUAAUCUUGAUUUUCAGCAUCGAUUUCUUGUUUUCCUCCUUCGCUAUGUCAGCUGCUUCACUUAAAACUCUGUUUGAAGUUUUCAAUAAUGGCGGCUUCACGUUUAAACAAGCCAGGAGGAACUGAACAUCAGAUGGGCCCAUUUUCGUUUUUAGCAUUGGCAGUACCAGAGCAGAGUGCAUGAGACAUUUAUGGUUUUUGCCUUUGUCAUAAAGGCUCGCCAUAUCAGUCUCAUAUUUACAGUUUAAGCAGAUGUCCCCAAGUUGGAUGUCUGUGAGAUUUCUAAUUUCAUUUUCGGUUUUUUACAAAUUCCAAAGUCAUGAUUGUCUAAAAAAAAUUUGAAACAGAUAUUCGUUUUUUCCAGAUUGAUGAUCUGGUUUUCUUGGAAAUUCGAUGGAUCUUCAGAUGUCCUCUGGCUGGAUGGACCAGCCGGCCGCAGAAGCAUUGGGGCAGCAAUGUUUGUUUCCCCUCCAUUGAAGUUGAUUCCCUGAUGGAGGGAGUGUGAGGGGCGUACAAUUGGAUUACUACCUCCGACUUCGCUGAUGGAAAGGGAAUGAUUUGUUUUUCUAUUCUUCCAAAAGGUGUUAUUUAAAUCAAAGUUAAAAUGUUUCCUCUUCCUCCCCCUUCGUUUUGCGGUAGGAUUUAUUAACUCACUCAUCACUGUUUCCCAGUAUUUCAUCUACACAAACUAGCUCAAUUAUGACGUCACAAUAGACAGUUAUGAUGUCAUCAUUGAUUGGGAUGCUUGCUCUUGUUUUUUUUUUUUUUUUUUUUUUUUUUUUAUAGAGUUAUUGUCCUUGGCAAAUUUAUUUCCUCUCACUCCCCUCUCUUAUUUUGGCCUACAUUUACUUAUUAGGUAAAAGUAGGAUAUCAAAGUCAUUAUUAAAGAUGUGAUAUUAUAGACAAAGCAAUUUUUAGGGCAAAUUCCUUAUUGAAAUAAGUUCAGGGUUCGAAAUUAACUCAUGUCCGUAAGUCCGAGACUAGUAAAAAACGUGUCGGACUAGUGAACUCUCUAUAGCACUAGUCCGUACGGACUAGUGAAAAUCCGGAAAUCAAUCUUCAAUGUGGUAAAGAUUUUUAGGAAGAUUUGUCUGAGUCUCUUAGAUGUUUGAACUUAUGUUUGAUUACCUGCAUGGUCAAGUGUUUGCAUGACUAUGACAUCCUGAUCUUCCAAACACAUGGAGUACGUUCAAGACCGCCGUUCUUCGAACGUGCACACAUUGUCAAAUUCCUGCCGAUUCCGAACGCCGAGUACACAUCACGAGAACGUGUUCUAGGUGUAAGAAUUGCAAGUAGUGUGGUUUGAGAACAUGCACGUUUGUGCGCACAUGUUCUCGUCAUUCGCGACUCUAACACAGUAGUUCAUAACACUAUAGCUCAUGACUUGGUCAAUCGAGUGAAUUUUAUUGACUUUAUUGAUAAAAUUUCGAACUCCUGUGACUCUAAAAUCUGAGCACCAAAACAACAGGAACAUCGAUCUCGAACGCACUUAUGGACGUUUAUAAAAGGAUUAACUCGGAGGUUAAUAUUGUAUGCUUCUGAAGAUUUUGAAUGUGAAAUAAAAUAUGUUGGUCUCUUUUUCUUCUGUAGGUGUCAGAAAUUGAAUUGUUUGCAACUGUGAUGUGUUUGGUUUGAUUUAAAUGAAGAUCAUUUUAUGAUAUACUGGACGGACUAGUGAAAUGCUUUGCGGACUAGUGAACAUCAACAGUGACUAGUCCGUACGGACUAGUGCUUGAAAAAGUUAAUUUCGAACCCUGAAGUUUGAUUGACUUGAAAUAACAGAAAAGAUAGGCUCUCCAUGAUUGCUCAUGUUAACAUCCUUAGAGGCCAUUUCAGUUUGUGUUUUUAGCUCACCUGAACCGAAGGUUCAAGUGAGCUAUUCUGAUCACUUUUUGUCCGUCGUCUGUCUGUCCGUCCGUCUGUUUGUUAAACUUUUCACAUUUUUGACUUCUUCUCCAGAACCACUGGGCCAAAUUCAACCAAACAUGGCCAAAAGCAUCCUUGGGUGAAGGGCUUUCAAGUUUGUUCAAAUGAAGGGCCAUGUCCCUUUCAAAGGGGAGAUAAUCACAAAAAUGCAAAAAUAGGGUGGAGUCAUUUAAAAAUCUUCUUCUCAAGAACCACUGGACCAGUAGAGCUGAAAUUUACCUGAACGCUUCCUGACAUAUUGCAGAUUCAAGUUUGUUCAAAUCAUGGCCCCCCAGGGGUAGGAUGGGGCCACAAGAGGGGAUCAAAGUUUUACAUACAAAUAUAUAGGGAAAAACUUUAAAAAUCUUCUUCUCAAGAACCACUAGGCCAGAAAAGCUGAGAUUUACAUGAAAACUUCCUGACAUAAUGCAAAUUCAAGUUUGUUCAAAUCAUGGGGCCCCUGGGGUAGGAUGGGGCCACAACGGGGGGAUCAAAGUUUUACAUACAAAUAUAUAGGGAAAAACUUUAAAAAUCUUCUUCUCAAGAACCACUAAGCCAGAAAAGCUGAUUUUUACAUGAAAACUUUCUGACAUAGUGCAGAUUCAAGUUUGUUCAAAUCAUGGCCCCCGGGGGUAGGAUGGGGCCACAAGGGGGAUCAAAGUUUUACAUACAAAUAUAUAGUUAAAAUCUUUUUCUCAAUAACCACUGAGUCAGAAAAGCUGAUAUUUACAAGAAAACUUUCUAACAUAGUGCAGAUUCAAGUUUGUUCAAAUCAUGGCCCCCGGGGGUAGGAUGGGGCCACAAGGGGGGAUCAAAGUUUUACAUACAAAUAUAUAGGGAAAAACUUUAAAAAUCUUUUUCUCAAGAACCACUAAGCCAGAAAAGCUGAGAUUUACAUGAAAGCUUCCUGACAUAAUGCAGAUUCAAGUUUGUUCAAAUCAUGGGCUCCGGGGGUUGGAUGGGGCCACAAUAGAGGAUCAAAGUUUAACAUACUAAUAUAUAGUUAAAAUCUUUUUCUCAAUAACCACUGAGUCAGAAAAGCUGAUAUUUACAAGAAAACUUUCUGACAUAAUGCAGAUUCAAGUUUGUUCAAAUCAUGGCUCCCGGGGGUAGGAUGGGGCCACAAGGGGGAUCAAAGUUUUACAUACAAAUAUAUAGUUAAAAUCUUUUUCUCAAUAACCACCGAGUCAGAAAAGCUGAUAUUUACAAGAAAACUUUCUGACAUAAUGCAGAUUCAAGUUUGUUCAAAUGAUGGCCCCCGGGGGUUAGGAUGGGGCCACAAGUAAGGGGGGGGGGUCAAAGUUUUACAUUUACAUGAAAGCUUUCUGACAUAGUGUAGAUUCAAGUUUGCAAAGGGUGGUUUGGGUCAUAAUAGGGACUAAGGUUUUACAUGCAAAUAUAUAUGGAAAGUCUUCAGAUAUGGGCCAAGGUGACUCAGGUGAGCGAUGUGGCCCAUGGGUCUCUUGUUUCACAUCAGAUUUCUUAAAUACAAUUUGGUAAUAUUAUUG